rnacentral:rRNA from 1 species
UAAUGGGUCAGCGACUUAUAUUCUGUAGCAAGGUUAACCGAAUAGGGGAGCCGGAGGGAAACCGAGUCUUAAUUGGGCGUUAAGUUGCAGGGUAUAGACCCGAAACCCGGUGAUCUAGCCAUGGGCAGGUUGAAGGUUGGGUAACACUAACUGGAGGACCGAACCGACUAAUGUUGAAAAAUUAGCGGAUGACCUGUGGCUGGGGGUGAAAGGCCAAUCAAACCGGGAGAUAGCUGGUUCUCCCCGAAAGCUAUUUAGGUAGCGCCUCGUGAAUUCAUCUCCGGGGGUAGAGCACUGUUUCGGCUAGGGGGCCAUCCCGGCUUACCAACCCGAUGCAAACUGCGAAUACCGGAGAAUGUUAUCACGGGAGACACACGGCGGGUGCUAACGUCCGUCGUGAAGAGGGAAACAACCCAGACCGCCAGCUAAGGUCCCAAAGUCAUGGUUAAGUGGGAAACGAUGUGGGAAGGCCCAGACAGCCAGGAUGUUGGCUUAGAAGCAGCCAUCAUUUAAAGAAAGCGUAAUAGCUCACUGGUCGAGUCGGCCUGCGCGGAAGAUGUAACGGGGCUAAACCAUGCACCGAAGCUGCGGCAGCGAACGUAUCACCCAAGACAACUUUACGGAGUUGACGAUUGACGGAGCGAAGCGACGUCAAAGCGUUCAUUAAAGUCGAGUUGGCUUAGGGAUACGUUCGUUGGGUAGGGGAGCGUUCUGUAAGCCUGUGAAGGUGUGUCGUGAGGCAUGCUGGAGGUAUCAGAAGUGCGAAUGCUGACAUAAGUAACGAUAAAGCGGGUGAAAAGCCCGCUCGCCGGAAGACCAAGGGUUCCUGUCCAACGUUAAUCGGGGCAGGGUGAGUCGACCCCUAAGGCGAGGCCGAAAGGCGUAGUCGAUGGGAAACGGGUUAAUAUUCCCGUACUUGGUGUUACUGCGAAGGGGGGACGGAGAAGGCUAUGUUGGCCGGGCGACGGUUGUCCCGGUUUAAGCGUGUAGGUGUGUGUUCCAGGUAAAUCCGGUU